rnacentral:lncRNA from 1 species
AAUCUAUAUCAUCAAUAAAAAAUAUUUGAUUGAGUUGAACAUCGGUGGUAACGUGCCCCUGUCAUUGGACGGCAGAUGGAGGCUUUUCCAAGAGACGAGCAUCAGAGCCUGUGCAGCCUCUGUAUGACUAUCCACGGUCGUACCUAAAACAGAUACCUGUAAGCAAAUCAGUAGAUGAAGGACUUUAUGAGGACAUGGUGGAGAUGAAGAAAAGUGAAGAAGGCUCCCAAGCUCUUGACAAAGAAGUAGAAGCAGCUACAGGCAGCCUGACCAAGUCCAUGAACCUGGUUUUUGACCGGCUCAAGACCCAGUUCUCACCACUGCCUUCCUUCUGUGAGGAGACGAAUAUGGACAGGUACGUCAUAUUGAUUCUGUGGAUACUGAUGUACAGUAUGUGCAACGUGUAUUUUUUGUGGCCUAGAUACCAAUGC